GACGAAAGCUGGCGGCGUGCUUAACACAUGCAAGUCGAACGGUAAGGCCCUUCGGGGUACACGAGUGGCGAACGGGUGAGUAACACGUGGGUGAUCUGCCCUGCACUUCGGGCUAAGCCUGGGAAACUGGGCACAAUACCGGAUAGGACCCUGGGAUGCAUCGCCUGGGGUGGAGAGCUUUUGCGGUGUGGGAUGGGCCCGCGGCCUAUCAGCUUGUUGGUGGGGUGAUGGCCUACCAAGGCGACGACGGGUAGCCGGCCUGGAGAGGGUGACCGGCCACACUGGGAGUGAGAUACGGCCCAGACUCCUACGGGAGGCAGCAGUGGGGAAUAUUGCACAAUGGGCGCAAGCCUGAUGCAGCGACGCCGCGUGAGGGAUGACGGCCUUCGGGUUGUAAACCUCUUUCAGCACCGACGAAGCGCAAGUGACGGUAGGUGCAGAAGAAGGACCGGCCAACUACGUGCCAGCCGCCGCCGUAA
rnacentral:rRNA from 1 species